rnacentral:rRNA from 1 species
AAUGAACGCUGGCGGUAGGCCUAACACAUGCAAGUCGAACGGCAGCACAGUAAGCGUUUGCCCUUACGGUUGGCGAGUGGCGGGCGGGUGAGGAAUACAUCGGCAUCUACUUUGUCGUGGGUGAUAUCGUAGGGCCACUUAUGCUAACAGCUCAUACUAUCUACGGGUUAAAUCAGAGGUUCUUGGGACUUUUGCUGUCUCAUAUAGAUGAAUCCGGGCUGGAUUAGCUAGUUGGUAAGGUAACGGCCUACCAAGGCAACGAUGCAUAGCCGAUCUGAGAGGGUGAUCGGCCACACUGGAACUGAGACACGGUCCAGACUCCUACGGGAGGCAGCAGUAGGGAAUAUUGGACAAUGGGCGCAAGCCUGAUCCAGCCAUGCCGCGUGGGUGAAGAAGGCCUUCGGGUUGUAAAACCCUGUUGUUAGGGAAGAACAGAAGCGGAAUAAAACCCCGCUGUUCUGACGGUACCCAAAGAGAAAGCACCGGCUAACUUCGUG